rnacentral:rRNA from 1 species
GGAGUUAGCCGGUGCUUCUUCUGUGAGUGAUGUCCUUCCUGCCGGCUAUUAACCCGCAGGCCUUCUUCCUCACUGAAAGUGCUUUACAACCCGAAGGCCUUCUUCACACACGCGGCAUGGCUGGAUCAGGGUUGCCCCCAUUGUCCAAUAUUCCCCACUGCUGCCUCCCGUAGGAGUCUGGGCCGUGUCUCAGUCCCAGUGUGGCUGAUCAUCCUCUCAGACCAGCUACGGAUCGUCGCCUUGGUGAGCCGUUACCUCACCAACCAGCUAAUCCGACAUAGGCUCAUCCGAUAGCGCGAGGCCCGAAGGUCCCCCGCUUUCCCCCGUAGGGCGUAUGCGGUAUUAGCCUGGGUUUCCCCAGGUUAUCCCCCACUACCGGGCAGAUUCCUAUGCAUUACUCACCCGUCCGCCGCUCGCCACCAGGGAGCAAGCUCCCCGUGCUGCCGCUCGACUUGCAUGUGUUAGGCUCGCCGCCACGCGUUCAUCUGAGCCAUAAUACAACUACUGA